rnacentral:lncRNA from 1 species
UCAGAGCCAUCGACACCAGCAAUAGUAGAAUCUCCACAUCAAUUGUAUAGUCCUCCUGGUCCUGCUCUUUCAAUGAAAAUGUCUUUGCAACGGUUUCUACAAAAGAGAAAAAAUAGGAUCCAACAAGCUUCUCCAUAUAAUCAUUAGCGAAAUCAAACUAGUUUGUUAUUUUUUACAAUAGGCUAUUUAGAAUCAAUUAUUUUCUUCUUUUUUUGAUAAGUCUUGUUAGAUUUCUUACAUUUCAAUUUUUUUCUUAAAAGUUUAGUUAUUAUUCAUUAACUAUUAGAAAAAUGAAUUUUUCAUAAAGGAAUUUUUGAUGGAAUAAAUUUCAUCUCAACUGAUAUUAAAUUUUCAUAAAGACUUUGAGAUGGAUUUCAGACAAAUUAUGGUUGAUCAAAGGUUUAAUAAGAGAAAGCUCAUAUGUGAUUGAGAGUUUGAAUACAUCGAUCAACUAUCAUAUAUAAGGGAUUCCACAUGAAGGAAAAUGUAUGAUACAAAUUCACUCUCACUCACAUAUUACUUCUUAUUCUCUCACUUAUUUGAGUGUUGAAGUGUUAACUUUGACUUCACAGGAAGCACUAGUCCAUUGUAGCAAAGCCUUACUUGAUCAUUUCACCCAUCAUUUUUAGUUAUGAACUAAACAGUGAUUGUAUGUGGCAUACAAUAUAUGAUUCCUACAAUUUUCCACAAUUAAAUAUGUCUAGUUAGUUGAUGUAGUAGUCACACUAAGACAAAGAAAACAACUUUCGAUCCUGCUUCACAUAGCACCUUUAAUCCUUCCAAUUUUCGAACCACCUCCAAUCUUUUUCGUAGAUUCGAUUGGCUAGAAGUUGCAUAGCAAGGGCCUCUUCCAUAAAGCAAUAUACAAAUCGGGAAGUGACAUAAAGAUAGAGAGAUGUUAAGGAUUCAAAAUCACAAAAAGAUGGCCCAAAAUUGCUUAUUAUAUCUCAUUGGACUAUAAGUCCUAUAAUGAUAUAAAAUAGUCAUUAGUCACUACUUAUCUAAUCACUUUACACCUAAAGUAGUUCAACGGUUUUACACAAGGUUAGAUAUACCAUAACUAGCCUAGGAUAAGAUUUAUUGUACUUCACUUAUUUGAUUCACCUCAUCUGCUAGAUAACAUAGUUCUAGGACUUAGGGAGGCUAGAAUAAAUAAUGAAUAUGUAGUAGCCUACCCUACUGACUUGGUACAUGUACAACCCAAUUUAUGUGUGUAAAGAAUCACAUACAUUAAGUUGUUAAAUUUUGAUAUGGAAAUAUGAUACAAAAGAAAAAGAGAUGCAUACGUACUUAAAUAUUUCCUACAUUACAUUGUACGUGCAUAUGAGUACAAAAUGCAACUCAAAGUUGUCAUGAUACAGCAGAAACAAAACUAAACAAACUAAGGCAAAAGCUUUCGAGACAAUAUCUUCGUGACAUCUUUCCUUCACCUUUAGUUGUAGAUUGUUCACGUGUAAAAUAUAUGAAAACAACACGGGUGAGAAUAAACUAUCUUAGUAGAGUUCUCAUAUCUUAGGAGUCCUCUCGGUCAUAGGGAUUAACCUAACUAUUAAACCAAGGUUUCUAACCUUAAUUACUUUCAUACCACACAGCAGACAUUAUAAAAUGAGGACAAUAGCAUUACUAAUCACACAAAUCUAGGUUUGUCUAGAUUUAUAAGAAUGCUAAAUUCGAGGAAUGGUCUUUUGAUUAUCCACCUUCCUGCUUUUGGGGUUGCCACCCUCUAGGAAUGGACAUCCGGACGUACCUACUUCUUCCUACUUUUGGGGUUGCUAUCCUCGAGGAAAAGUAUACCGGUUUACUAAUUGCCUAAAUUUUUAGACUCUCACCUUUAAGGUAUGGUAUACCAAAUUUAAUCACUUUUCCUACUAUUGGGGAUGCCACCCUCUAGGAACGGUGUACCGUCUCUCUCUCUCUCUCUCUCUCUCUCUAUUCAUAUAGACUAUGGGAGAUGAAGAUCAUCUUGUCAUCAGCGUUGACGACCGUCAGUAGCGAUAAUGGUCGUCUUCCCAUCUUGAACGUGUUUUUAUGCAGAACCGCAACAUAGGCCCGAAAUUGCCCAAAAUUUCAAUUCUUAUUUAACACUAGAAGUUCAUAACAACACUCAAACAUAUAAUAGGCAAUAAAUUCUAGGGUAAUACACAAACAUACUAUCAAUUAACACAAAACAUGUUUCAAACAAGUAUCAACAUGAAUAACAAGGAAACUCUCAUGAAACCCCCAUUUUUCAAACAUGCAAAUAUUCCCAAAACCAACUUGGAUUACCCACCACUUAAGAACCCCACCUUUAAAAAUCAAAACCUGGAAAUGAGAUUAGAUGAGAAUGAUGAUAACUAUGAUGACCAAAACCUUUCUCCAAGCUUCAACAAUGGAUGCCACAUGCAAAAGUUCCUCUUCUCACUUUCCCCCUUCUCCAUUCGUGCCCUCCUUCCUCAUGUAACUUGUCUCCUAUUUCUCUUUCUCAAUGGACUCCUCAGUUCUCGUAUUUGCACUAACCAUCGU